rnacentral:rRNA from 1 species
UACAGAGGGUGCAAGCGUUAUUCGGAAUUAUUGGGCGUAAAGCGCGCGUAGGCGGUUUGGUAAGUCUGGUGUGAAAGCCCUCGACUCAAUCGAGGAAGUGCAUUGGAUACUGCCGGACUGGAGUGCAGGAGAGGAGAGCGGAAUUCCUGGUGUAGAGGUGAAAUUCGUAGAUAUCAGGAGGAACAACGGUGGCGAAGGCGGCUCUCUGGACUGUAACUGACGCUGAGGCGCGAAAGCGUGGGUAGCAAACAGG